UAUGGAGCUUUAACUAAGUAACUCAAGGAAAAUAAAUUCAACCACCAAGGGAUAACAACACUCCUUAUGAGUUAACAGUUUCGGUUGGGGUGACCUCGGAGAACAGAAAAUCCUCCGAGCGAUUUUAAAGACUAGACUAACAAGUCAAACCAAACCAUCGCUUAUUGAUCCAAAAACUUGAUCAACGGAACAAGUUACCCUA
rnacentral:rRNA from 1 species